GCUUGCCAACAUAUCUUGAUAAUUGGCCCAUUUAUAGCUACCUCAUAGUGAAAUGCAAUUUAAUUUAUGCGAUUAUUACCUCAAAGCGGAUUAAGCAGCCCAGCAGUGGAAAGCAGUGGACAAACAGGGCUAAAUGCUGGCAUCUCUCAUGAUUAAUAUAUUUUCCGGUGGGUGAAAAUCAGCCCAGAAUGAAUUAAUUCCGUUUAAUUAAUUAACUGAAAAUAUCAAUGAAAAUUCAUGAAAUAUA